rnacentral:rRNA from 1 species
UACGAAGGGGGCUAGCGUUGCUCGGAAUCACUGGGCGUAAAGCGCACGUAGGCGGAUUUCUAAGUUAGGGGUGAAAUCCUGGAGCUCAACUCCAGAACUGCCUUUGAUACUGGGAAUCUUCGAGUCCGGGAGAGGUGAGUGGAACUGCGAGUGUAGAGGUGAAAUUCGUAGAUAUUCGCAAGAACACCAGUGGCGAAGGCGGCUCACUGGCCCGGUACUGACGCUGAGACGCGAAAGCGUGGGGAGCGAACAGG